rnacentral:rRNA from 1 species
GAUGAACGCUGGCGGCGUGCCUAAUACAUGCAAGUCGAGCGAACAGACGAGGAGCUUGCUCCUCUGACGUUAGCGGCGGACGGGUGAGUAACACGUGUAUAACCUACCUAUAAGACUGGGAUAACUUCGGGAAACCGGAUCUAAUACCGGAUAAUAUAUUGAACCGCAUGGUUCAAUAGUGAAAGUCGGUUUUUGUGUCACUUAUAGAUGGAUCCGCGCCGCAUUAGCUAGUUGGUAAGGUAACGGCUUACCAAGGCAACGAUGCGUAGCCGACCUGAGAGAGUGAUCGGCGACACUGGAACUGGAACACGGACCAGGCUCCUGCGGUAGGCAGCAGUAGGGAAUGUGACGCAGUGGGCGAAAGCCUGACGGAGUGACGCCACGUGAGUGACGAAGGUCUUCGGUGCGGAAAGCUCUGUUAUUAGGGAAGAACAAAUGUCUAAGUAACUGUGCACGGCUUGACGGUACCGAGUCAAGAAGCACCGGCUAACUACGUG